AAUGGGGUCAUGGAGCCAGCAGGAAUGAAGCAACUGGUGUCCAGUAGAGAAGAGGGAGAGAAACCUCGAGGUCUUAAUUUCACAGAGGUUCUUGACACAGGGUGGGAUUCAUUGCUGUCUAAGAAGGGAACUUAGGAUCUUGUGGAGUUUUGUUUUUUUUUUUUCUGAAGCUACUUCCUCAGUGUGUUGUUUGGCCAAAAUCAGGAAGAAAAUAAAACCUACCUGUUAGGGUAUGUUGCACUCAGAAAACCUGGCUCAGCUGAUGGGAUAUUUAUCACACUAAGUAUGCUGACAUUUUCCAGGAUUCUUGAAGCAUAUUGUGUUAAUGCAGCAAGAAGAAAACUUAUGAAAUUGUGAUAACAGGUGGUGCCCUGAAGUUAAGAAUUUCUAAAGUUCCAUUUUCACAAUUUAACCUACCUUUAAGGACAGUAGUGCAAGUAGUUAGUUCUCAAAAAGUUCCACAGUGCCACUGCUGUCAACAAGACAUUGUUUAAAUGAAUUGUUAGUUGGGGGCAUAUGUCAGAGAUGAUAAAUUCCUCUUCAAAGGUUUUAAUUCCCUCUUCUUCCAGUUCUUUGUUUCUCUAGUUUCUAUAGUUACCCGUGCUGUAAACAACCCUUCCUGCCCUGACUGUUCCCUGACAUGUCCUGACAAGUCUAGACAGGCCUUGCACCAUAAUGGAUAGCCUUCCCCUUCCUGCCUAGAUAGCUGUAUUCAAUUUCAAACAUUAGCCAAUCAGGUCAGUUUAGACUGUGCAGUCCAACCCCAGCCAAUGGAGAAAGAACACAGCAGUAGGAACCAAUUGCAUUAGGGAUAAAAACCCCUGCCCUAUCCCCCGGCUCGGUGUUCUCUUGUGAUCGUGACUGGCACAAGCUGCGUCCUUCUGCAGAAGUAAAUUUGCCUUGCUGAGAAAAUUUCUGUUUGAGUGCUAUUUCUUUUGCAGCACCAAAACUUAUUUCUAACAAAUUUGGGGGCCUGUGUGGGAUUCCCAUUCUCCUCUGGGGAAGGGUCCGGUCCUCUCCCAUGAGGAGGCACAUCCUGCUGCCUCAUUGCGGUAGCCUCAGGGGUAAGGAAUCGAGACUCACUCAGUGUGAUGAAUAAACCUGGACUCUCAGCAACACAGGAAGAAACAGACCAACAACUUUGAAAAAAGAAAAAAAAAAGGUAAUCACAUACUGUGGUGUCCAGGUAACUCUGUGCACAGAUCAAGGUAAGAAACCUCACAGUGGCGACAAAGUAUUUCCUUGAUGAUCGGAACAUCUCGGAGGUUGGAAGUUGAAAGUGUGUGAAUAAGCACUACUGGUGUGCGGAGUGAGCGAGUCCAAUCUGUGGUUCUGUGGUCACCUCAUAUGACUUACAGCAGCCUUUUGGGGGUCCUGUCAGGGGUUUAUACUGACCCACCAAUGUUAAAAGGGACAUGAUGUUCCCUUCGGGGAAGCAGCCAGAGAGGAGGAAACGAAAGGAAAAGAGUGCAAGAAGCCUCCACUAGGGGGUAUUGAGGCUCUGGAGAAAAGGAAAGCAAGAAAUCCCAAUAUGGGUGGGGCGGGGGUGGGGGUUGAGCCUCUAGAAGAAAGGAAAGGCGAGAAAUCUCCAGUAGAGGGGAUUGAGCCUCACACAAACCUCCAGUCAUAGGGAAGGCAAAAAAAGAGGAAGAAAGGAUCUCUUUAAAGGCUAUAAUGCUUUGAAAACUGUGUUGGCAGUGUGGCAUGACUGUUUCAAGUAGAUAAAAGCUUGUCAUUUUACCCCAUCCUGGCAUGACUGUGAAGCCGGUGAGGAAAGAGGAAGAAGGGCAAGUUCAGAUGCCAGCUGGGUAGCUGGGACAGGUUGGCUGAGGGACCACUCGGGAGGUCUCUUGUGCCUGGCAUUGCCCACUUCAGCCCAGUCACGUGUUUACAGCAACCAGAGUCCCUGCAAAGGUGUGGCUGGCUGUGGUCAGGGCCUACUAGCACGGCUUAGGCCUCCAAAUCAAUCAUGGAAAAUUCCUCCCCUUCCUAAACUUGCUCACCACUGCAGACGAAGAACACAUUCAUCCUGAGGUAUGCUGUUGUUCCCAAUCCUUACACUGUUAUCAGUAGGAUCCCAUACAGCCACCAGUGGUUUAUAGUAAUAGAUUUAAAAGAUGCCUUCUGGGCUUGUCCAUUAGCAGAGGACAGCUGGGACCUAUUUGCUUUUAAUUGGGUCCUUCCUGGCUGUCCUCAGAUUGGGCAUUUGUUAACUGGGAUAAAUUAGUUUGGGAAGAGUUUGACGAAGAUUCCAAUAUGAACUGGGAAUCUAGUCCUCUUAGAGCAGAGCUUCUCUGCCGAAGUUGGUCCAAUGUUGGGAUUACCCCUCCCAAUUGUCAGCUGAACCAAUGUAAUCCAGCACAGAUUACUAUCUGUGCUCCCCAGAGUUCUUCCCCUUCAUUAAGCCAUUUCUAUGGUAUAGGAGCAUAAGUCUCAGGGAAGGACCCCAUAGGAUCCUUUGAAAUGUGCUUCACUGCUUCCCCACCUCCUGCAUCCCCUUCUCGCUCUCCUAAGUUCUCUGCUAACCAAACGCAAAUGCUUGGCUGGAAUGGAUUAAAUAUUCUGUUCACAUGCUAAACAAAAGCAACUGUUACUCUUGUGCAACAGGCAGGCCAGAGACCCACAUUGUCCCCUUUCCACUUGGGCGGUCCUGUCACCGAGGAGGCAUGAGCUGUAUGAUAGCCCUCUUCCAGAACCCCAUAGCCUGAGGCGAUGAGUCAUGCAAGACUCUUUCACUGCUGUUCCCUGAGGUCAAGAGCCCUGCAGGUCAGCCCCUGAGGGCCAUCCGGCCUCCAGCUCCUAAUAUUAACUUCACCUCGUGCCUUUCACAGCAGGGGGAAACGUUUGCAUUCCUUGGAGACUUAACAGGGUGCAGUGAUACCAAGCCUUUUCAAGAGCUUACCAAUAAUAUUGUACUUUUAUUCCCAAUAACACUGACCCUGAUGGAACAAUAACAAAAGCCUUACAAGGCCUUACCCUGUUAUCAAAUGAGUUAGCUAACAAUUCUGGAAUAAAUGACCCCUUUACAAGCCUCAUUAAGAAAUGUUAGACUACCAGCGUUAUCCACUGACUGCCUAGACAAUCAAAUCGACAAUUGAUCAGACUCUGCUUCAUUGUAUCUUUUCUUUUGUUGCCUAAAAUAAUUGGCUCCCAACUGGUGAGACAAAAAUCAUUGGUGGGGCUUCAAAUCCCUUUGCACAGCACAAAUCAUCUGUGGAUUUAGUAAAUACUUCCAACAUAUUAUAUACAUUACUAUUUUUCAUAUUGGUAUUAAUAAGAUUAAUUAAAUGAUAUUGUUACUUUCCUCUAAUUACAAAAAUAAUGGCUUCUUAUCUAACAUUCACUGAUCAGUUAUUAUGUGCCCAGUAAUAUGUGAAGCCCUUCACAUGAAAUAUCUCAAUUUAUCCUCAUCACAAUUUUACAAGGUAGGCAUCAUCAUAACCCUCAUUUUAUAGAUAAAGAAGCUGAGGCUUGAAGAGUUUUGGUAACUCACCUGCAUUCAAAUAGGCAACAAGAGAGAGAGCCAGGCUGUAAAAGCAGAUUGACCUUUUCUAGCUUUUUUAAGUUUUAUUUUUUAAUUGAUGUAUAAUAAUUGUACCUAUUCAUAGGGUAUAUAGUGAUGUUUUGAUAUCCGUAAUGCAUAAUGAUCAGAUCAGGGUAAUUAGCAUAUCCAUCAUCUCAACCAUGUGUCAUUUCUUUGUGUUGGGAACAUUCCAUACCUCCUUCUAGCUAUUGAAAUUACAUGAUGUAUUAUUGUUAACUAUAGUCAUCCUACAGUGCUGUAGAACACUAGUGCCUAUUCCUCCCGUCUUUCUUAAUGUCUAGGCUUUUUGAUAAAUAAAAUGUAUUUUAUCUUGUCCCACUGACCACACACUCAGACACACACACACACAAAUACUUGGAUCUGUUUCUAUUAUCUUUUUUGAUCCUACAUUGUUACAGACUUUUAUCAUUGCAAUAUCUGAAUAACUGGUAUAAAAAAUACCGGCAGGGCGUGGUGGCUCACGCCUGUAAUCCCUGCACUUUGGGAGGUUGAGGCAGGUGGAUCACCUGAGGUCAGGAGUUCAAGACCAGCUUGGCCAACAGGAUGAAACCCUGUCUCUACUGAAAAUACAAAAAAUUAGCUGGGAGUGGUGGCACAUGCCUGUAAUCCCUGCACUUUGGGAGGCCGAGGCAGGUGGAUCACCUGAGGUCAGGAGUUCAAGACCAGCCUGGCCCACAAAAUGAAACCCCAUCUCUACUAAAAAUACAAAAAAUUAGCUAGGCGUGGUAGCACAUGACUGUAAUCCCUGCACUUUGGGAGGCUGAGGUGGGUGGAUCACUUGAGGUCAGGAGUUUGAGACCAGCCUGGCCAACAGGAUGAAACCCCAUCUCUACUAAAAAUACAAAAAAUUAGCUGGGUGUGGUGGUGCACGCUUGUAAUCCCAGCUACUCAGGAGGCUGAGGCAGGGGAAUCACUUGAACCUGGGAGGCGGAGGUUGUAGUGAAUCAAGAUUGCGCCACUGCACUCCAGCCUGGGCAACAAGAGCAAAACUCCAUCUCAAAAACAAAAACAAACAAACAAACCAAAAAACCUGGUAAAUUUGUUUAAGUUCUUUGUAGAUUCUGGAUAUUAGACCUUUGUCAGAUGGGUAGAUUGGAAAUUUUUUCUCCCAUUCUGCAGGGACAUGGAUGAAGCUGGAAACCAUCAUUCUCAGCAAACUAACACAAGAACAGAAAACCAAACACCACAUGUUCUCACUCAUAAGUGGGAGUUGAACAAUGAGAACACAUGGACACAGGGAGGAGAUCAUCACCUACCAGGCCUGGCAGGGGGUGGGGGCUAAGGGGAGGGAGGGCAUUAGGACAAAUACCUAAUGCAUGUGGGGCUUAAAACCUAGAUGACGGGUUGUUAGGUGC
rnacentral:lncRNA from 10 species